CAGUCGCCGCGGUAAUACAGAGGGUGCGAGCGUUAAUCGGAUUUACUGGGCGUAAAGCGUGCGUAGGCGGCUUCUUAAGUCGGAUGUGAAAUCCCUGAGCUUAACUUAGGAAUUGCAUUCGAUACUGGGAAGCUAGAGUAUGGGAGAGGAUGGUAGAAUUCCAGGUGUAGCGGUGAAAUGCGUAGAGAUCUGGAGGAAUACCGAUGGCGAAGGCAGCCAUCUGGCCUAAUACUGACGCUGAGGUACGAAAGCAUGGGGAGCAAACAGGAUUAGAUACCCCCGUAGUUCCUGUCUCUUAUAA
rnacentral:rRNA from 1 species